rnacentral:rRNA from 1 species
AUGUUAGCGGCGGACGGGUGAGUAACACGUGGAUAACCUACCUAUAAGACUGGGAUAACUUCGGGAAACCGGAGCUAAUACCGGAUAAUAUUUUGAACCGCAUGGUUCAAAAGUGAAAGACGGUCUUGCUGUCACUUAUAGAUGGAUCCGCGCUGCAUUAGCUAGUUGGUAAGGUAACGGCUUACCAAGGCAACGAUGCAUAGCCGACCUGAGAGGGUGAUCGGCCACACUGGAACUGAGACACGGUCCAGACUCCUACGGGAGGCAGCAGUAGGGAAUCUUCCGCAAUGGGCGAAAGCCUGACGGAGCAACGCCGCGUGAGUGAUGAAGGUCUUCGGAUCGUAAAACUCUGUUAUUAGGGAAGAACAUAUGUGUAAGUAACUGUGCACAUCUUGACGGUACCUAAUCAGAAAGCCACGGCUAACUACGUGCCAGCAGCCGCGGUAAUACGUAGGUGGCAAGCGUUAUCCGGAAUUAUUGGGCGUAAAGCGCGCGUAGGCGGUUUUUUAAGUCUGAUGUGAAAGCCCACGGCUCAACCGUGGAGGGUCAUUGGAAACUGGAAAACUUGAGUGCAGAAGAGGAAAGUGGAAUUCCAUGUGUAGCGGUGAAAUGCGCAGAGAUAUGGAGGAACACCAGUGGCGAAGGCGACUUUCUGGUCUGUAACUGACGCUGAUGUGCGAAAGCGUGGGGAUCAAACAGGAUUAGAUACCCUGGUAGUCCACGCCGUAAACGAUGAGUGCUAAGUGUUAGGGGGUUUCCGCCCCUUAGUGCUGCAGCUAACGCAUUAAGCACUCCGCCUGGGGAGUACGACCGCAAGGUUGAAACUCAAAGGAAUUGACGGGGACCCGCACAAGCGGUGGAGCAUGUGGUUUAAUUCGAAGCAAC